UGCGGGACUUCAACGCACAUCCUGGUGA
rnacentral:sRNA from 1 species